GGCGAGAAAACUUUAGUCAAUGUGCGAAAGACACGACAAGGUUAAGUCCGAGUGGUUUCUUGCUAAAGGAACCUUUUGUUCGGUCCUAGAAACACCGAUGAAUAAGGGGUGGGGCAAGUUCUGGUGUCAGCCGCCGCGGUAAAACCAGCACCUCAAGUGGUCAGGAUGAUUAUUGGGCCUAAAGCAUCCGUAGCCGGCUCUGUAAGUUUUCGGUUAAAUCUGUAUGCUCAACAUACAGGCUGCCGGGAAUACUGCAGAGCUAGGGAGU
rnacentral:rRNA from 1 species